rnacentral:rRNA from 1 species
AUUGAACGCUAGCGGCAGGCCUAACACAUGCAAGUCGAGCGGAUGAAGGGAGCUUGCUCCUGGAUUCAGCGGCGGGCGGGUGAGUAAUGCCUAGGAAUCUGCCUGGUAGUGGGGGAUAACGUCCGGAAACGGGCGCUAAUACCGCAUACGUCCUGAGGGAGAAAGUGGGGGAUCUUCGGACCUCACGCUAUCAGAUGAGCCUAGGUCGGAUUAGCUAGUUGGUGGGGUAAAGGCCUACCAAGGCGACGAUCCGUAACUGGUCUGAGAGGAUGAUCAGUCACACUGGAACUGAGACACGGUCCAGACUCCUACGGGAGGCAGCAGUGGGGAAUAUUGGACAAUGGGCGAAAGCCUGAUCCAGCCAUGCCGCGUGUGUGAAGAAGGUCUUCGGAUUGUAAAGCACUUUAAGUUGGGAGGAAGGGCAGUAAGUUAAUACCUUGCUGUUUUGACGUUACCAACAGAAUAAGCACCGGCUAACUUCGUG